CAGUAUACAGGAUAUUCUCUUUUACUUGCUCCAUGGCUCAUAAAUGCAACAGCAAAAUAGAACUAGCCAAAGCCAUAUAUUUCAGUGGUUGUCUCACUUUCCAUGUAUAUUUCACACCUAACCCAUAGGUACGCCUGAGUGUCACCAUCUAUCUAUGUAUAACCUCUCACGCACAGGUUAGAUUAGAAUCCUGAGUUAUGCUUGUUUGUAUCUUGUUACGUAAACCUGCAGACUACGCUAUAUAGCAUUUUACCUACCUAGCCUGCGACCUAUUACCUCUACUAAAUAUAAAACUGUG